AGCAUCUGAAGAGGUUUUCUAAUGGAUAAAAUCAGAUCAUUUUAUUUUAAUGCGUACGAGAAUGUUAUCAUACAUGUUGAUGCAUUCAUUUAUUCAGAUAUUUAUUGAGCACCUACUGUGUGCCAGGUACUAUUCCAGAACACAGCAGUGAGCACUUUCCAGAUGCCCACAUCUAGUAAGAAGAGCCAGAGCAACAAUCAAGCAAGCAAACAAAUAAACGUGGCGCUUGGGACAGCGACGCAUGCCAUGAGGGAAAUGAGACUGGUAACUCAGAGUCUAAGAGGAAGAGGAGAAAGCAGCUAGAGGGAAGACCUCCCUGAGGAGGGGGCAUUGGAUCUGAGAUCCAAGACAUGCAGCUUUAGGAAGAUCUUUUCCGGCAGAGGGAGUAAGAAUUGCAAAAGUCUUGAGGUGGGAAGGGGAAAAGGGUGGGUGUGGCUGGAACUUGACAGGUACGAGUAUGUUAGGGAGGCAGGUAGAGGCCAGCAGCGUAGAGCCUGUGGGCCUUUUAGAGUAUGAAGUCUUUGGAAAGUUUUACAGGCAUACAAGGUGUAUUGUGUUUUUGGAGAGGUUAGACUGGAGCGUACAGGACAGCAGGGUGAUCAAGGGGGCUGGUUAGAUGGCAGUCACUGCAGUCCAUGUGAGAGGUAAGGGCAGUGUGGACUAGGAGUGGAGGUAGACAGGAGUGGGCAAGUUCAGGAUCGAUUGUGAAGACCCACCUGUGGUAACUUGCUGAUGAAUUGGGGGAGGGUUCGUGUUAAGUCUGAGAUUGAUGCUCAGAUAUCUGCAUGGAAACUGCACGUAGGCACAUGGCUAUAGGAUGUGGAGCUGAGGGGAGAUCAGGGCUAGAGAGAAAAAUUGGGAAGACAUGUUGAUGUCAUUUAAAGCUGGGAUGAGGAAGUGAGUGCACACCAGAGGACAGCCUUGGGCCAGACUCCGGGGUCCAGCACUGUUUAAGUUUGGGUGUAGGAGGAGAAGCCAGCAAAGACGAUUGAGAAGCAGCAGCCAAACAGGUUGAAGGAAAACUAGAAAAUGAAAAGUCCUUCCUGGACUUUGCAAGAGAAGAAAUAGUUCCAAAAGUGGGAAGUAGUGAACUGUGUUGAAUACCCCUGGGAUAUUGAGGAAGAUAAGGAUAGAGAUGUGUAUGUUUGGAUUAGAUAACAGGGAAUGGAUUGGUAUCCUUAACAAAAGAAUGUGAAGUCAGUGAUGAGACCCAAGCAGUGAGUGGAGGUGAGGAUGUAGUGAGACAUGAAAAAUUCUUUUAAACUCUUUUGUUGGAAAGAAGAAUAGAGAGAAGGGGGAGAAUCUGGAGGGCAUAUGGUCUAGAUUUUUUUUUUAGACAGGAUUCUGUAGACUCUAAUGUAGUGACCACAGCAUGAUAGGAAUGAUCUGGUGUGUAGGGGGUGAAGUGUAUUUGUUUUCUAUUGCUGUGUAACAAAAUACCACACACUUUUUGGCUUACAACCGUUCUCCCAGUAUCUGUGGGUUAGGAGUCUGGGCCAGGCUUAGCUCGGUCUGCUGCUGAGUCUCACAAGGCUGCAAUCAAGGUGUUAGGUGGGCUGCAUUCUCAUCUGGAGGCUUGACUGGGGCAGGAUUCACUUCUAGCCUCACUCAGGUUGUUAGCAGAACUCAUUCUCUUGCAUCUCUAGUCCGAGGAUCCAGCUUCUUUGCUGCCUGUUACUCAUGGGCUGCCCUCAGCGCCUACAGCCCCACCCCACCCCCACCUCCACUCCUGCAGGGUGUUGUUACGUCGUUCCCUCAACAUGGCCUCUUUCUGCAUCAAGUCAGCAAGGAGAAUCUUAGCCUUGUCUGCUAGCAAGAUGGAGACUCAUAUAAGGCACUCUAAUCAUGGGGGCAGGACCCUAUCAUCUUUGCCACAUUCUAUUGGUUAGAGGUGAAUGAUGGGUUCUACUCACACUGAAAGCAAGAAGAUAUGCAAGAGCAUGAAUACCAGGAGGUGAGGAUCUUUGAGGGUCACCUUAGGGAGGAACCGAAGAUGCAGAGAAAAGAGAGCAAACUGCAGGAGGAAGUCCUUGGAAAAAGUCAUAGGAGAGGGGACCUGGGACCCAAAUAUAAGGAUUGGCCUUUGACAGAGCAAGGCCCCUUCUUCCACUGAAUUAGAGAGAAGGCAGAGACAGUGAGUCCAGAUGUGGGUAGUUGUAUAUUGGAUGGUGGUCAGAUGAAGCAGUACUUGUCUGAAGGCUUCUGUUUUCCCCAUGGAGCUGGAGGGCAGGCCAUCAGCUGAGAGUGCAGGAGAUCUGAAGUCAGAGCUGAAGUCAGGAGACAGUGUUGUGGGAGAGCAGGAGAGCAAACGAACCAUCCGACGGAGCUGCCUGACUGUCGCGAGGACCCACCUGAUGCCGCGGUUCCACACUGACAGUGUAAGCAGUCUGCCUGGGUGUGUGAUUACCCCAGCCUCGUUCCACAGAGUAAUAAUAACAAAAGGGAUCCUAGCUAGUGCUUAUUGAGUUAUUUAAUUACUGUGGCUAGUACAAAUCGAAAUGUGUCGUUUCAUUUAAACUUCAUUACAUCCCUGGUCAGGCAUUCUUACUAUCAUCAUCCUCAUUUUACAGAAGUGAUAAGCACUUGAAGAUACACUGGCGUUAGGUGGCAGAGCAGGUGUUUGAACCCUGGGCCAUCUAACUCCAGAGCUAGUACCCUUAUGCCUCACACUCUGCCGUCUCUUGUAGACAAAGCAGAGAGCUAGAUUCAGCAGAGAUGCAGUUUAGGCAGGUGAGCUGUGGAACGAGAGAGAGAACAUUGUGCUGAUCAAGUUGGCCCUGCUGUGACUGUAAUGAUGAGAUCUAAGAAAAGUGAGGACAGGAAGGGGCCAGGGGCUGCCGAAAAAGUCGUGGGUUAGUGGAGUGGAGAAAACAAAGAGGAAUCCAAUAAAAUCAAUAAAAGAACGGGAAGGAAAUGCAGGACAACUUGGGUUCCAAGAUCACGUUAACCUGAAUGAAUAUUUGCUAAAUCCUUAAAGCCAGGAACGGUACUAACUGCUUUAUAUGAAGGAGGAAGGAUCUCAUGAGAAGUUCUGACUUGGGAAUCAACAUGACCCCAUUCGCCAGCUGAGUAUACUGACUUGGAAGUGACGUAGUGCACCUGAGGCCACGUGGUCACCAGUGGCGCCACAGUUCACGCCCAUACGCUGUACUGUUCAUCUCCCUGUAUUUAUUUGUGAUGUUUGUGCCCAUUUAUACCUGGGAGGAUUUGCCACAGCUGAGGAAAGAGAGGAAUACAUGCUGCUAAGUAUCUGAGAUCUUGAUUACUAUAAGGGACACUAAUUUAGGCUCUGAAAGAGACAAGAAGAAAAACUUUGUUUCACACAGUUUUCAGUUUCUGAUCAAAGAAGCUUACACAUUUAUUGGCAGUGGUAAGAUUCCACCAUCCCCUAAAAAAAAAAAAAAACAAAAAAAGCCCAUCACCUCUUGGACCCUUGAAUGAGGAACACUAGGUAAACAAUAUCUUCAACCAGAGUUAAAAAAAAAAAAAAUACAAGGACACUGUCAAACGGAGGAAGGAUUCUAAAAUAAACUGUUACUCAGUGAAGGCAGAACAGUAGGGGGCUGAGAUAACAAGGCCCAGGACUGUGCUCCACGAUGCGUGUAUUCGUUUAGGGACAAGAGCCGGAGAAUCUGACAGAAUUGAUAAUGUACUGUCAUAAUCAGUUGAGGUAAAAGCUGGACACGAAAGACUGCUAGGAGUUCUAUCAAGAGUCCACCUGCUGGAAAACCAGGAAGAAAGGCUUCUAAGUGAGAUAGUAUGUGUCAAAACACCCACUUUCGGGGCUCAAUCAAUAUUAAUCGAGUGGGAUCUACUCCGUGUGUGCCAGCUCUUUGGGGAUGGUUAACACGUCUAUUAGACUAUCUCUUGACUAUCAGAUGACUUUUAAGAAGCCUUUGGCAGGGACCGUGAAGCAAGCGCCGAAUUCCAAUUUGCUAACAAGUAUGUGUCUUGCAAAUGGUCUACGUUGGCUGGAGGGAGAGGCAUGUGCUUAUGAUACCAGACAAAGUUGUCAUUCGCUGAAUUGUCAACUGCCAGACUUGGAAGGGAAACAGAGAUUAUCUAGUAACUCAAUAUCCUCCUUUGACGGCUCAGGACACUGGGACCAUGCAAGGUGAAGUGCCUUGUCCGGCUCGAGCUGCUGAGCAAGUUAGGAGGGGCCGGGAUUAGCGCUCUGGUCUGCCAACCCCAAAUCGUCACCCUCCUUCCUGGGUUAGUCUUUUGUGCCUGGAAUGAUCUGCAGUUCGCGCCUUUGGAGUUGUGGUUAGAGAAAUCACAAUUUCCUGGAGUGAUCUACCACUCACUGCUUAUCAGCUUCUAUUUCUGGAAUGUUCUUCCUUCCUAAAGUACCUCAGGCGGAGGUGGUCUCACCUGUGGCUUUGGGGGGUAGGCGGUCCCUCUGUGAAUCCUGCCCGGGCCGGCCCCCCUCCCUCUGCAGUUUCCGAGGGACAUGUAUACUCAGAGGAUGAUAAUAAAUGGCGAAUCGGCCCCAUUUCAUUGUGAACUGGUUCCCUUACUCUCCGGUGCGGGGCUUCUAGUAAACUGGCCUAGAACAUGUCAUUUAUACUCAGCCCUUAACCAGGGCCUUGCCUCCUUCCCCAGAUUUUACUACUAGUUGACCAUGGAGUGCUCUGCAGCACAAGCAUUAAGACAGAGAGGAGGAAAAGCAAGAAGUCAGGUCUUAACCUGGAAUCCGCUGACCCAUGCCUCUUGGUGAGAAGGAGCAGAGGGCUUCAGCCAGGAUGUCCUUGACCUCUGCGAGCGCUUGGACCGUGUCCUCCCACCCCAGGUGGGGGUUGGCGGGGCAAGGAGCGGGAGCUUUCCCUCCCCGCUGCCAAGUGCACUGUCAGAACUUCUGAUCUGCACGGAACAACCAGUCUUGUACCAGGACUCGAUGUGAGGUCUGCUGAGGUGGAGGCACCUUGACCUCUGAGUUGCCCUGUGCCGGCUCAUAUUAAGGAGACCAAGGAGGCUUAAGAGGCAAAGAAUUAAGAAGGUCCUGCCUGUGCAUUGCCCCGCGAUGACUGACCCAGAGUGCGUGGUCUCCUUGUUACAGAUGACAGUUACCAGUGACACGCUUGCUUUCCUUAUGUUCUUGAUUUGAUGGAAGGUUGAGUGAAAAUAAAAUCACCCUGAUGCAGAUGUAUUGGGAAUGGGUAGUCUAAAUAAAUGAAUGUCAAAAGUGCUCUGACAUUUUAAAUUAAA